CCUACGGGAGGCUGCAGUGGGGAAUAUUGCGCAAUGGGCGAAAGCCUGACGCAGCGACGCCGCGUGAGGGAUGAAGGCCUUCGGGUUGUAAACCUCUUUCAGCAGGGAAGCGGUACCUGCAGAAGAAGCACCGGCUAACUACGUGCCAGCAGCCGCGGUAAUACGUAGGGUGCAAGCGUUGUCCGGAAUUAUUGGGCGUAAAGAGCUCGUAGGCGGUUUGUCGCGUCUGGUGUGAAAAUCCAGGGCUUAACCCUGGACCUGCAUCGGGUACGGGCAGACUAGAGUGCGGUAGGGGAGAUCGGAAUUCCUGGUGUAGCGGUGAAAUGCGCAGAUAUCAGGAGGAACACCGGUGGCGAAGGCGGAUCUCUGGGCGUACUGACGCUGAGGAGCGAAAGCAUGGGGAGCGAACAGGAUUAGAUACCCUUGUAGUC
rnacentral:rRNA from 1 species